GACGAACGCUGGCGGCGUGCUUAACACAUGCAAGUCGAGCGGUAAGGCCCCUUCGGGGGUACACGAGCGGCGAACGGGUGAGUAACACGUGAGCAAUCUGCCCAUCACAUCGGGAUAACUCCGGGAAACCGAAGCUAAUACCGAAUACGACCACCUCCGGCAUCGGCUGGUGGUGGAAAGUUCCGGCGGUGAUGGAUGAGCUCGCGGCCUAUCAGCUUGUUGGUGGGGUAACGGCCCACCAAGGCUUCGACGGGUAGCCGGCCUGAGAGGGUGACCGGCCACACUGGGACUGAGACACGGCCCAGACUCCUACGGGAGGCAGCAGUGGGGAAUAUUGGACAAUGGGCGAAAGCCUGAUCCAGCAACGCCGCGUGAGGGAUGACGGCCUUCGGGUUGUAAACCUCUUUCAGCAGGGAUGAAGCGGAAGUGACGGUACCUGCAGAAGAAGCACCGGCCAACUACGUG
rnacentral:rRNA from 1 species